CACGUAGGGUGCGAGCGUUGUCCGGAAUUAUUGGGCGUAAAGGGCGCGUAGGCGGUACUUCAAGUCAGGCGUGAAAGCCCCGGGCUCAACCUGGGAACCGCGCUUGAGACUGGAGAACUAGAGUUCGGGAGAGGAUGGUGGAAUUCCCAGUGUAGAGGUGAAAUUCGUAGAUAUUGGGAAGAACACCGAUGGCGAAGGCAGCCAUCUGGACCGACACUGACGCUGAGGCGCGAAAGCGUGGGGAGCAAACAGG
rnacentral:rRNA from 1 species